GUCUCUGAAACCAUCGCAACAAAUUCGAUUACACGUUCCAGCGUCGGCCGCGUUUUCUUGCUGCAAAAUACUUCAUUUUCCAAUUUGUGCAUUUUACGUUCGUUAGUAAAAGUCAGCGUGAACAUGUCGAGCAAAUCCCGACGUGCUGGCACCGCCACGCCGCAGCCCGGCAGCACCUCCACCCCACGGGCGCCCUCGGCUGGUCCGCAGCAGCACCACCAGCAGCCGCCCACCCACUCUCAGACGGCCUCCAGCCCACUGAGCCCCACCCGCCACUCCCGCGUGGCCGAGAAGGUGGAGCUGCAAAACCUGAACGAUCGUCUGGCCACCUACAUCGACCGGGUGCGCAACCUGGAGACGGAGAACUCCCGCCUCACCAUCGAGGUGCAGACCACCAGGGACACGGUCACCCGCGAGACCACCAACAUCAAGAACAUCUUCGAGGCCGAGCUGCUGGAGACACGCCGUCUUCUAGAUGACACAGCUCGGGAUCGCGCUCGUGCCGAGAUCGACAUCAAGCGUCUCUGGGAGGAGAACGAGGAGCUGAAGGGCAGGCUGGACAAGAAGACCAAGGAGUGCACCACGGCUGAGGGAAAUGUCCGCAUGUACGAGUCGCGCGCCAACGAACUGAACAACAAAUACAACCAGGCCAACGCCGAUCGGAAGAAGAUUAACGACGACCUCAAUGAGGCGCUUAAGGAGUUGGAUAGACUGCGCAAGCAGUUCGACGAAACGCGGAAGAACCUGGAACAGGAGACACUGUCGCGCGUUGACCUGGAGAACACCAUUCAGAGUCUGCGCGAGGAGCUCUCCUUCAAGGACCAGAUCCACUCGCAGGAGAUCAACGAGUCGCGCCGCAUCAAACAGACGGAGUACAGUGAGAUCGAUGGUCGCCUCAGCUCCGAGUACGAUGCCAAGUUGAAGCAAUCGCUGCAGGAGCUGCGCGCCCAGUACGAGGAGCAGAUGCGCAUUAAUCGCGAUGACAUCGAGUCCCUCUACGAGGACAAGAUCCGCCGACUGCAAGAGGCCGCCGCACGCACAUCCAAUUCCACGCACAAGUCCAUUGAGGAGCUGCGCUCCACUCGUGUGCGUAUCGAUGGGCUCAAUGCUAAGAUCAACGAUCUGGAGCAAACCAAUGCCGACCUCAAUGCGCGCAUUCGUGAGCUGGAGCGCCAGCUGGACAAUGAUCGCGAACGCCACGGUCAGGAGAUUGCCCUUCUCGAGAAGGAGCUCAUCCGGUUGCGCGAAGAGAUGACUCAGCAGCUCCAGGAGUACCAAGACCUUAUGGACAUCAAGGUCUCCCUGGAUUUGGAAAUCGCCGCAUACGACAAGCUGCUGGUGGGCGAGGAGGCUCGUCUGAACAUCACACCAGCUGCCAACGCGGCCACUGUGCAGUCCUUCAGCCAAUCGCUGCGCAGCUCCACCCGUGCCACGCCAUCGCGUCGCACUCCCUCUGGUGCAGUGAAGCGCAAGCGCGCCGUGGUCGACGAGUCUGAGGAUCACAGCGUCUCCGAUUACUAUGUGUCCGCCAGUGCCAAGGGCAACGUGGAGAUCAAGGAGAUUGACCCCGAGGGCAAGUUCGUAAGGCUGUUCAACAAGGGCAGCGAUGAGGUGGCCAUCGGUGGCUGGCAGCUGCAGCGACUGAUCAACGAGGGCGGUCCAUCGACCACCUACAAGUUCCAUCGGUCGGUAAAGAUCGAGCCAAAUGGCGUGGUCACCGUUUGGUCGGCGGACACCAAGGCCUCGCACGAGCCGCCAUCGAGUCUGGUGAUGAAGUCACAGAAGUGGGUGGCCGCCGACAACACCAGGACGAUUCUGCUGAACUCCGAGGGCGAGGCUGUGGCCAAUCUGGAUCGCGUCAAGCGCGUGGUGUCCCAUCACACAUCCUCCUCCCGGCUGAGUCGUCGCCGCAGCGUGAGUGCCGUGGACGGCAAUGAGCAGCUCUACCAUCAGCAGGGCGAUCCUCAGGCGUCAAACGAAAAGUGCGCCAUUAUGUAAAAUCAAACAACACAAAUCUUUUCUGAACCAGACAAACAAAAAGCACACGGAGAGCAUAAACAAGAACCCAAACAAACGCUGAGCCAUGGCCAUAGGGUUUACGAUCCCCACACCCCCACGUCCCAAAAAACGGCUUUCUCCCGGUGAAGACCGGUUCUUGAGCUUCCUGCAGACAUUUUACCGGACAAGUAACAAUAACAACAUAAGCAACAACACGAGUGUACAACAAUUACAGAAGAAAAGCGAAGGAAAAUGGAGGUACAUGUAGCGGCUCAGCGAUCCGUCGCAUUUUUUAUGGGUGGGCGUGGUCGCGUUUUACGUCGGCCCAACAAAUUCAACGCCCACACAGACUAUUACAAAACAACUACAUUUUAAGUACAUCUACGUUUAUGUAUGUAAUUGCUAAUAAUUUGAUAAUUAAAAUAA
rnacentral:misc_RNA from 1 species